UACGGAGGGUGCAAGCAUUAAUCGGAAUUAUUGGGCGUAAAGGGCGCGUAGGCGGGUAAGUAAGUCAGAUGUGAAAUUCCGGGACUCAAUUCCGGAGCUGCAUUUGAAACUGCUUGUCUUGAGGAUUGGCGGAGAGAACGGAAUUCCACGUGUAGCGGUGAAAUGCGUAGAUAUGUGGAAGAACACCGGUGGCGAAAGCGGUUCUCUAGCUAAAUAACUGACGCUGAGGCGCG
rnacentral:rRNA from 1 species